AAUCAACGCUGGCGGCGCGCUUAACACAUGCAAGUCGCACGAGAAAGGGAGCAAUCCUGAGUAAAGUGGCGUACGGGUGAGUAACACGUGGGAAUCUACCUCUUGGCGGGGAAUAACCCUGGGAAACCGGGGCUAAUACCGCAUAAGCUCGUGAGAGGAAAGCAGCAAUGCACCGAGAGAGGAGCCCGCGGCCGAUUAGCUAGUUGGUGGGGUAAUGGCUCACCAAGGCGAAGAUCGGUAGCCGGCCUGAGAGGGCACACGGCCACACUGGCACUGAAACACGGGCCAGAAUCCUACGGGAGGGAGGAGUGGGGAAUCUUGCACAAUGGGGGAAACCCUGAUGCAGCGACGCCGCGUGAGCGAUGAAGCCCUUCGGGGUGUAAAGCUCUUUCGACAGGAACGAUAAUGACGGUACCUGGAGAAGAAGCUGCGGCUAACUACGUG
rnacentral:rRNA from 1 species